rnacentral:rRNA from 1 species
GACUACUGGGGUAUCUAAUCCCGUUUGCUCCCCACGCUUUCGUGUCUCAGCGUCAGUCAAUAGCCAGAAACCUGCCUUCGCCAUUGGUGUUCCCCCUGAUAUCUACACAUUUCACCGCUUCACCAGGAGUUCCAGUUUCCUCUCUACCACUCUAGCAAUGCAGUCUUUCGCGCACAACCGGGGUUGAGCCCCAGCAUUAAACACAAAACUUACAUUACCGCCUACACACCCUUUACACCCAGUAAUUCCGGAUAACGCUUGCCACUUACGUAUUACCGCGGCUGCUGGCACGUAAUUAGCCGUGGCUUCAUUUUGGGUACCGUCCCUGCUCUCAUAUUAUUAAUAUGAGAACCAUUCUUCCCCAACCGAUCGAACUUUACAUCCCGAAAGACUUCUUCAUUCACGCGGCGUCGCUCCGUCAGGCUUUCGCCCAUUGCGGAAAAUUCCCCACUGCUGCCCCCCGUAGG